rnacentral:rRNA from 1 species
UACAGAGGGGGCAAGCGUUGUUCGGAAUUACUGGGCGUAAAGGGCGCGUAGGCGGCCUGCUAAGUCGAACGUGAAAUCCCCGAGCUCAACUCGGGAACUGCGUCCGAUACUGGCAGGCUUGAAUCCGGGAGAGGGAUGCGGAAUUCCAGGUGUAGCGGUGAAAUGCGUAGAUAUCUGGAGGAAUACCGGUGGCGAAGGCGGGUCUCUGGACAGUUCCUGACGCUGAGGCACGAAGGUCAGGUGAGCAAACGGG